GGUUGAUCCUGCCAGUAGUCAUAUGCUUGUCCUAAAGAUUAAGCCAUGCAUGUCUAAGUAUAAACAUUAAUACUGUGAAACUGCGAAUGGCUCAUUAUAUCAGUUAUAAUUUAUUUGAUAGUCUCUUUACUACUUGGAUAACCGUGGUAAUUCUAGAGCUAAUACAUGCGAAAAGCCCAACUUUUUGGAAGGGCUGUAUUUAUUAGAUUAAAAACCAAUGCAAUUGGUGAUUCAUAAUAACUGUGCGGAUCGCAUGGCCUUGUGCCGGCGACGUUUCAUUCAAAUUUCUGCC
rnacentral:rRNA from 1 species